rnacentral:piRNA from 1 species
UNGAAAGUAGGUGGAUUGUGGUUUUAGG